rnacentral:rRNA from 1 species
UACGUAGGGGGCAAGCGUUGUCCGGAAUCAUUGGGCGUAAAGAGCGCGUAGGCGGCCCGAUAAGUCCGCUGUGAAAGUCAAGGGCUUAACCCUUGAAUGCCGGUGGAAACUGUCGGGCUAGAGUCCGGAAGAGGCGAGUGGAAUUCCUGGUGUAGCGGUGGAAUGCGCAGAUAUCAGGAGGAACACCGAUGGCGAAGGCAGGUCUCUGG